rnacentral:rRNA from 1 species
AGUGAACGCUGGCCGUAGGCCUAACACAUGCAAGUCGAACGGCAGCACAGUAAGAGCUUGCUCUUACGGGUGGCGAGUGGCGGACGGGUGAGGAAUACAUCGGAAUCUACUUUUUCGUGGGGGAUAACGUAGGGAAACUUACGCUAAUACCGCAUACGACCUACGGGUGAAAGCAGGGGAUCUUCGGACCUUGCGCGAUUGAAUGAGCCGAUGUCGGAUUAGCUAGUUGGCGGGGUAAAGGCCCACCAAGGCGACGAUCCGUAGCUGGUCUGAGAGGAUGAUCAGCCACACUGGAACUGAGACACGGUCCAGACUCCUACGGGAGGCGGCAGUGGGGAAUAUUGGACAAUGGGCGCAAGCCUGAUCCAGCCAUACCGCGUGGGUGAAGAAGGCCUUCGGGUUGUAAAGCCCUUUUGUUGGGAAAGAAAAGCAGCAGGUUAAUACCCCGCUGUUCUGACGGUACCCAAAGAAUAAGCACCGGCUAGGUUCGUG